AGCUUCUCAUCAUAUUUAAAGCCUUCUACUGCCUUUCAUUUGUGGCAGUAUACAUUUUCUCCUUGAGAUCACAAUACCUGCACAGCACCAGCACAUUAUGGGGUUCACUGAGAAUCAGAUGUUCAUAUUAGCUGUUGGCCUAUUCUGCCUGCGUCCCUGAGACGAGGUGAGGUAUUGUUUUCAGAAUGUGAUUGUAAAUAUUAGUAAUUAUUAUUGUUAUAUAUGUGAGUAAUAAUUAGAGUACAUGUCUUUGCUUAAAUCUGGAUGAUUGACAGUUAUCAGAUGUAUUAAUAGUAUAGUGGUAACCAUAUUGAAUGUAUAAUAUGAUACGCAUUUCAUUACAAGAGACAUGUAUUAAUUGAUGGAUAUUUUAUUAUUCAGAGCGUUUUGUUAUAGUUCAGCCAACUGGGGAUUUCCUUAUCCCACGUCACCAGCGUCGAAUAAAUCCCUGAAACCCCA